CCUACGGGAGGCAGCAGUGGGGAAUAUUGGACAAUGGACCGAAAGUCUGAUCCAGCAAUUCUGUGUGCACGAUGAAGUUUUUCGGAAUGUAAAGUGCUUUCAGUUGGGAAGAAAUAAAUGACGGUACCAACAGAAGAAGUGACGGCUAAAUACGUGCCAGCAGCCGCGGUAAUACGUAUGUCACGAGCGUUAUCCGGAUUUAUUGGGCGUAAAGCGCGUCUAGGUGGUUAUGUAAGUCUGAUGUGAAAAUGCAGAGCUCAACUCUGUAUUGCGUUGGAAACUGUAUAACUAGAGUACUGGAGAGGUAAGCGGAACUACAAGUGUAGAGGUGAAAUUCGUAGAUAUUUGUAGGAAUGCCGAUGGGGAAGCCAGCUUACUGGACGAUAACUGACGUUGAGGCUCGAAGGCGUGGGUAGCAAACAGGAUUAGAUACCCCGGUAGUC
rnacentral:rRNA from 1 species